AAAAAAAUAGAAGCAAUGGAUCGGGAGAAUUUAUGUGUGUGUACGUAUGUAUCGUCGUCGUUGUCUUGCCUGGUCAACUUUUUCGUCAGUUGUUUUGGCAAAAGGCAAGCACUACUCUAAGCUUCAGUUUCCUCUGAAACCUACUGCAUCCUAGUCUGCAAAUAAUACGGACAUGAGCACUUCCCGGUGGUCGGUCACUUUUAUAUCUCAAAAAGAAUCGAUACGGGGUAUUGGUCUGCUGAUUAUUCGGGACACUUGGCGGGGUACACAAAUUAAUCGUGCUGGGAUUUGGAUUUUCUGAAGAACUUAUUCAGUUUCUUGUAGUGCCUGCCAUCUCUACCAGCAUCUUUCCGAGUGACA
rnacentral:lncRNA from 7 species